GAUGAACGCUGGCGGCGUGCCUAACACAUGCAAGUCGAACGAACAGUUGAGGAGCUUGCUUUCCGGCCGUUAGCGGCGGAUGGGUGAGCAACCCGUGGAUAACCUAGCUAUUAGACUGGGACAACCACGGGAAACACAAGCGAAUACGGGAGAUUAUAUUGAACCGCAUGGCUCAACAGUGAAAGACGGUUUUGCUGACACUGAUAGAUGGAGACGCGCCGCAUUAGCUAGUUGGUAAGGUAACGGCUUACCAAGGCAACGAUGCGUAGCCGACCUGAGAGGGUGAACCGACACACGAGAACUGAGACACGGUCCAGACUCCUGCGGGAGGCAGCAGUAGGGAAUCCUCCGCGAUGGGCGAAAGCGUGACGGAGCAACGCCGCGUGAGUGAUGAAGGUCUGCGGAUCGUAAAACUCUGUUAUUAGGGAAGAACAAAUGUGUAAGCAGCAAUGCACGUCUUGACGGUACCUGAGCAGGAAGCCCCGGCUAACUACGUG
rnacentral:rRNA from 1 species